rnacentral:lncRNA from 1 species
GUUUUAAUAAAAAAUAUUUAAGAAGUGUCAGAGCUUUUAGGGAUAUAUAAAUUUCUUGACAUCAUACCAGCUCUAGUUUUUGAAUGUAUUUAUCUGUGUCUUGAGGAUGUGUUUUAUGGCAAACUAUAGCUUUUUGGGGAGGGGGGUAAGGGUGGAAAUAUUACAGACCAAACAAAAAAAAAAAAAAAAACAAAAAAACACCCACACAACAAAAAAAUAGCAAGCUAGUUAAUAGGUUAUUGCUCUACAUUGCUGUAAAUUGUUUUUUGUUGUUCAUUAACAUUAUCCACCUUCAAAACCUUUGCAUCCUCCAGACCAAGGUUUCACUGCAAGAAAUCUUUCAGAAAGAAAGACUUCAGAUGGCUAUGGGAUGUCAGAGCUCAAAUAUCUCAUGGUCCUUGUAUUUGCAAAGAAUAAACCAACAACGGGCAAACAUGCAAAGACCAUCUGUCUUCCACUCUGGAUAAAUCACUUGGAACUAAAGAGUGUUUCUUUGGUUUCCUUUUUUUUAAGAUCUUAUACUAGCUUUUCUUUUCAAGUGUGUUUUGAAGAGGAGGCCAUCAUCAGGGAGUUUGGUAAGACUUUUCCCGGGGAUUUAAGAAUUAAGAAUAGCUGAUGGAAUAUCCUGGGAACUCUGUUUCAUCGCGGAAUAUUUUGUGCG